AGUACAGACUGACAGACCGGAGGUCACCGAGGACCGGCAGCCGGCCAUGGUAGAGGGGCGGCGCGGGUGGAGGGUCCCAUCGUGGUCCACACAGCGCCGACCGUACACACUUUCAAACCAUAUGCUAUCGUUGCCGUCCCAUGGACCGUACACACGUAUGGAACGGAGCAUUGUCUCCGCUUUUCACUGGGGCCCAUUUCGGGGAACAGUGCGAGAACUCGGGCGGCUGAUUCUUGAUGGAUCGGGAAGGGUACGGGGUUGUCUAGUUGGUUUCUGAUUGGAGGAUUGUGUACCGGCAGAGGAAACUGUAAGACACCGCAUUGCCAGUUUUAUGUCUUUAUAUUGGACGGUAUUGCAUGUGGUCAGUGUCGUUCGAUGGGGCUCGUAUAUUCAUAAAUCAACCCUUGUGCCAGCAAGUAAUGGAUCGUUCCAUCGGUAUUUUUGAAAGGAAUGUAAAAGGAAAUUUUUCCUUCAAAAAGCUACUAGGAAAUGAAAAGGAUUACGGCGCGGUAUAAACAUGAUUUUAAGAAGAAAUUACAAGACGUCGGAACUUAUAUUUUGAGAUCAGUCAUUCAGUAACAGUUUUAUUCAACAAUCCUCUUCAAUCUUGUAACUAGACUAGGCAUAACUUCAACAUGAUCGAGUAUUGAGUAUUGAGUAUUGAGUAAAAUUAAGUACAUGUAAUUAGGUACACCGUCUGUUGAAAGAACGUCAGGUCACCGAUAUACAGUUAAUUUAAACACAGAAAAAAAGAUUUUUUUUAAGAAUUUGAGUAUAUUGAACCAGAAUCUAUAUCUUAGAAUUUCCAUACCUUACCGUAAGUCUACAACGUUUCAAGUAAAUCGACGACCCGAUUUUGCGCUCUUCUUAUCAGCAGAAAUAUGACUAAAUUGACGACGCGGAAAUGUCGAAAUCGUUCCAGAUUUUUAAUUCUGUUUCACAGGUUGCAUUCUGUAGUAAAUGGCGGAAACCAUGAUGCUGGAGCUUAGUAAGGUUGAUAUGAUAAAAUUUCCUAGCAGUAACGUGUCGGCCGAAUCCAUCCAUAUUGUGAACACCCUCGCUGUAAACAUAGAAAAACAUUAGUGCGGGUGAUUUCGGACCCGAGUUAAAAUCUUCUGAUAUUAAUUAAAAUGGAUGGGGAGAAUCCGGAGACCGAGAACUUCCGGUAUCGUCGACUUACUUAGGUUCGUGAAGGCAGAAAUGAACCACGUGAUCGGCGACACAGAGUCCGCGUUUUUCGCACGCAGUAUAGCGAGCAAUUGAACGAUUUUGCUCGAAACAGAAAUUGGAGUACACAUUGGCUGCAAAUCAUACAAAUUUCCGAUAUUAUUGAACGCGUGAUUCAGAGACAUUAUUAAAACGAUUAAUUCAUUAUUAAUUAAUCAACCAACCGCUAAAAACGUGAGAACUACUUUUGGAAUGAUCUGCAGUGCAAGAGAAGCACUUGUAAUAAAAUAAAAUCCUGUGAACAUUAUA